rfam:Triticum aestivum genome assembly, contig: Triticum_aestivum_CS42_TGACv1_scaffold_288506_4AL
CUACUACUCCCUCCGUCCGAAAAUACUUGUCAUUGAAAUGGAUGUAUCUAGAUGUAUUUUAGUUCUAGAUACAUCCAUAUAUAUCCAUUUUGAUGACAAGUAAUUCCGGAUGGAGGGAGUAUUAU